ACAGUGGACGCGAGCAUCUUUGUUGUAAGUAAUGAAGAGCGUACGGUGGAUGCCUUGGCACCAGGAGCCGAUGAAGGACGUAGGAGGCUGCGAUAAGCCUCGGGGAGCUGUCAACCGAGCUGUGAUCCGAGGAUGUCCGAAUGGGGAAACCCAGCACGAGUGAUGUCGUGUUACCCGCGCCUGAAUAUAUAGGGCGUGUGGAGGGAACGUGGGGAAGUGAAACAUCUCAGUACCCACAGGAAGAGAAAACAACCGUGAUUCCGUGAGUAGUGGCGAGCGAAAGCGGAAGAGGCUAAACCAUGGGUGUGUGAUAGCCGGCAGGUGUUGCAUUCGUGGGGUUGUGGGGUUCAUUUUGUCUGUUCUGCCGAGCAGGCCAACAGUAAGAAAUCACAGGGUUAGUGGAAGUGGUCUGGAACGGCCUGUCGUAGAGGGUGAGAAUCCCGUACACGAAAACUUUGUGACUGUUGUAAUGGAAACCCAAGUAGCACCGGGCCCGUGAAAUCUGGUGUGAAUCUGUCGGGACCACCCGAUAAGCCUGAAUACUCCCUGGUGACCGAUAGCGGACUAGUACCGUGAGGGAAAGGUGAAAAGUACCCCGGGAGGGGAGUGAAAUAGUACCUGAAACCGUGCGCUUACAAUCCGUCAGAGCCUUCGAACAGUUUACUGUUGGGGGUGAUGGCGUGCCUUUUGAAGAAUGAGCCUGCGAGUUAGUGGCAUGUCGCGAGGUUAACCCGUGUGGGGUAGCCGUAGCGAAAGCGAGUCCGAAUAGGGCGAUCGUAGUGGCAUGCUCUAGACCCGAAGCGGAGUGAUCUACCCAUGGCCAGGUUGAAGCGACGGUAAGACGUCGUGGAGGACCGAACCCACUUAGGUUGAAAACUGAGGGGAUGAGUUGUGGGUAGGGGUGAAAGGCCAAUCAAACUCCGUGAUAGCUGGUUCUCCCCGAAAUGCAUUUAGGUGCAGCGUCGCGUGUUUCUCACCGGAGGUAGAGCUACUGGAUGGUCUAGGGGGCCCACAAGCUUACCGAAAUCAGCCAAACUCCGAAUGCCGGUGAGUGAGAGCGCGGCAGUGAGACUGCGGGCGAUAAGGUUCGUAGUCGAGAGGGAAACAGCCCAGAUCGCCAGCUAAGGUCCCUAAGCGUGUACUAAGUGGAAAAGGAUGUGGGGUCGCGAAGACAACCAGGAGGUUGGCUUAGAAGCAGCCACCCUUGAAAGAGUGCGUAAUAGCUCACUGGUCAAGUGAUCCUGCGCCGACAAUGUAGCGGGGCUCAAGUACACCACCGAAGCUGCGGCAUUCACGCAAUAGCCCCC
rnacentral:rRNA from 1 species